UACAGAGGUCUCAAGCGUUGUUCGGAUUCAUUGGGCGUAAAGGGUGCGUAGGCGGCGCGGUAAGUCGGGUGUGAAAUCUCGGGGCUUAACUCCGAAACUGCAUUCGAUACUGCCGUGCUUGAGGACUGGAGAGGAGACUGGAAUUUACGGUGUAGCAGUGAAAUGCGUAGAUAUCGUAAGGAAGACCAGUGGCGAAGGCGGGUCUCUGGACCGGAUCUGACGCUGAGGCGCGAAAGCGUGGGGAGCAAACAGG
rnacentral:rRNA from 1 species